rnacentral:rRNA from 1 species
UACGGAGGGUGCGAGCGUUGUCCGGAAUCACUGGGCGUAAAGGGCGCGUAGGCGGCCUGAUAAGUAGGGGGUGAAAUCCUGCGGCUUAACCGCAGGGCUGCCUUCUAAACUGUCAGGCUAGAGCACAGUAGAGGCAGGUGGAAUUCCCGGUGUAGCGGUGGAAUGCGUAGAUAUUGGGAAGAACACCGGUGGCGAAGGCGGCGAGCUGGCCUGUACCUGACGCUGAGGCGCGACAGCGUGGGGAGCAAACAGG